rnacentral:rRNA from 1 species
UACGUAGGGGGGCUAGCGUUGUCCGGAAUCAUUGGGCGUAAAGAGCGUGUAGGCGGCCCGGUAAGUCCGCUGUGAAAGUCGGGGGGCUCAACCCUCGAAUGCCGGUGGAUACUGUCGGGCUAGAGUGCGGAAGAGGCGAGUGGAAUUCCUGGUGUAGCGGUGAAAUGCGCAGAUAUCAGGAGGAACACCAGUGGCGAAGGCGGCUCGCUGGACCGGUUCUGACGCUGAUGCGCGAAAGCGUGGGGGAGCAAACGGG